rnacentral:rRNA from 1 species
AUUGAACGCUGGCGGCAUGCUUUACACAUGCAAGUCGAACGGUAACAGGUUAAGCUGACGAGUGGCGAACGGGUGAGUAAUGCAUCGGAACGUGCCCGAUCGUGGGGGAUAACGCAGCGAAAGCUGCGCUAAUCCCGCAUACGAUCCGAGGAUGAAAGCGGGGGACGGUAAGGCCUCGCGCGGUCGGAGCGGCCGAUGUCAGAUUAGGUAGUUGGUGGGGUAAAGGCUCACCAAGCCAACGAUCUGUAGCUGGUCUGAGAGGACGACCAGCCACACUGGGACUGAGACACGGCCCAGACUCCUACGGGAGGCAGCAGUGGGGAAUUUUGGACAAUGGGCGAAAGCCUGAUCCAGCAAUGCCGCGUGCAGGAAGAAGGCCUUCGGGUUGUAAACUGCUUUUGUACGGAGCGAAAAGGCCCUCUCUAAUACAGUGGGCUCAUGACGGUACCGUAAGAAUAAGCACCGGCUAACUACGUGCCAGCCGCCGCAGUAA